rnacentral:tRNA from 1 species
AGCUCAGUAGGACGGAGCCCCUGUUUUCUAGAUAGUCGCAUCGGUAGGGAGGUCGCGGGUUCGAGUCCCGCCAGCG